CGGCGGCGGCGCGUCUUGUGCUCUAGCGGUGCCUGGGCGGCUAGUUCAAGUUGCCAUAGCUGCAAGUCCCGGGUGAGCGGAGUCGGUUGCGAGGCAGCGUUGGGUCAGUUGCACCUUCGGGGUCGCUGGUAGCCGCGGGAGCCGGGUGGGGCCUCGGUGAUGAUCCGGCGUUAAGAACUUGGAGUCACCUUGGGUCUAAGGUGUUUUGGAGGGAGUGUAGAGGCAACCCAAAAGAUCAUCUACUCGACUAGACCUCUUGCCCUGAACCUCAUGAAGAAAUGAUAGGAGGCAGGUACCCUGAGCUCAAAGGACGGCAGCGCAGAGUUCUGGGAGUGCACUUUGAGUUCCACCAGAUGCAGGAGUCUGAGCAAUUCUCAUUGCUCAGAGUGAUUGAAAUUAAUAACAGAAGUCUUAGAGCGCACCUGUGAAGCUCAUGCUGACAAGUAUCUCACUGAAAGUAUGUAAUCCUAGCUGGGGAUUUGUAUACAUCAAUGGCAGAGUCAUCCAGUGAUUCAGACCACGUCCGCUAUCGUGACGGAUUGAGUCGAUGGGCAACCAGGUCAUUUCAAAGGGGAGUUGGAAGUCAUUCUACAGUAGAUGUCACCGCAAAGGUCAACACCAUAACCAAUACUUUACAGGACACCACUCGGAAUCUGCGACAUGUGGAUCAGAUGCUUGGGCGCUAUCGCGAAUACAGCACUGGACAGGCGGGCGCUGUUGGGCAGUUAAAGGAGGAUUUGGAGCAGUCAAUAAACCAACUGAGGAGUCAGCGCUUACGGAGAAGCUCAGGAGGGAGAAGUGUUUCUGUCACCAGCCUGAGUGCAAGUGACCUUGAUGGUGGCGCUGUGACAGAGAAUCUCCGCUUUGCACCUACCUCACCUCUGAAGGACUACGACCUACAGGGGAUUAAACGAAACAGGUUCAGAACGGGUGUUCGCUUUGUUUCGGAGACAGACGACAUGGUCCAGCUCCAUACUUUUCAUCAGUCCCUCCGCGACCUCAGCAGUGAACAGGUUCGGCUUGGAGAUGACCUCAACAGGGAGCUUUUCAGAAGAAGCCGGUCUGACGCUGAAACCAAAAGGGUGUUAGAAGAAUUGACUGGGAAGCUUAAUGAAGUCCAGAAGCCAGACGUGGUUUCAGAUCGAGUGGAGCGGCGGCUGCAGGAAAUAGAACGAGAGAUGCGCUUAGAAAGAGAGCUGGUGGAAAGACGUCAUGAUCAGCUGGGGCUCGUGUCCUUGAAGCUCCAGGAGGCACUGAAGAAACAAGAAGCUAAAGCAGAUGAGAAUGAGGACGUAAUAAAAAGAAAGCUGCGACAAAGUGAAACCGAGAAGAGCCAACUGGAACAGGAAUUGGAGAUCUCACGCAGGCUGCUGAGUCAAUCUGAAAGCAAUAGAGAAACGCUUUUGCAUCAGGUGGAAGAGCUGCGUACACAACUUAUCAAAGCAGAAGGUGACCAAAGGGGUUUGCAGCAUCAAGUACCUUGCAUUUCCAAGCAACCAUUAAGCCACCAGGAUGAUCAAGGGGAUGACCGGAGGUUUAGAAGAGGAGUAGAGCGGGAGAAACUGAGUCUGGAGAAGCAGAUGGCAGAUCUGCGAGUGCAGCUGAACUUCAACUCCAUGGCUUCGGAGUUAGAGGAAGUGAAGCGGUGCAUGGAACGGAAGGACCAGGAGAAAGCAACGCUGGCCGCACAGAUCGAGAACCUAACCCGGGACUUGGAGAACCGGGAAAAGCAACAGCUGCAGAUGUUGGACCAACUGACGGAGAUCCAGAAUCACUUUGAGACCUGCGAGGCCAAUCGUAAGCGGACCGACCUCCAGCUCUCAGAGCUGAGUCAACACGCAGAGGAAGCGACCAAGCAGGCGGAACACUACCUUAGUGAGUUCCAGAGGUCAGAGACCCUGCGAGAGGAGGCUGAGAAGAGGAGGGAGGACCUGAAAGCCAAGGCCCAGGAGUCCAUCCGGCAGUGGAAGCUGAAGCAUAAGAAGUUGGAACGGUCAAUGGAGAAACAAGCUGAAACCCUUGUCCAGCUGACAGAGAAGAACAACCAGUUUAUAAAAGAGAGGGAUGAACUGAAAAGCCAGCUUUGUGCAGCCUUACAGCAGAUCGAGAAUCUUAGGAAGGAACUCAAUGAUGUCUUGAGCAAGCGUGCCCUGCAGGAAGAGGAGCUCCACUGUAAGGAGAAGAAGCUCAAUGACAUUGAGUCCCACCAAGCUGAACUCGAACUGGAGGUCAAGAAUUCCCUCGACACCAUCCAUAGAUUGGAGAAUGAGUUGAAAAGACAGAGUAAGAGUCAAAGCCAGAUAAAGGCCGAGAAAAUUCACCUGGAGGAAGAAAUUACAGAGCUCAAGAAGAGUCAGUCCCAGGACAAAGUCAAACUCCUUGAGAUGCAAGAGUCCAUCAAGGACCUGAGUGCCAUCCGAGCAGAUCUCGCUAAUAAACUGGCUGAGGAGGAGAAAGCCAAGAAAGCUGUGUUCAGGGACCUUUCUGAGCUGACAGCCCAGGUAAAAUCGAAAGAAGAAGAAACCGCCACGGCUAUCACACAGUUAAAGUUAGAACGAGACGUUCACCAGAGGGAGCUGGAAGACCUUAGCUCCUCGUUGGAGAGUGUGAAGUUGAAGCACGAGCAGAAUAUCCAGGAGCUGAUGAAGCACUUUAAGAAGGAGAAGAGUGAAGCCGAGAGCCACAUCAGGAUGCUGAAGGCAGAAAGCUUGGAAGAUAAGAAUAUGGCUAAAGCCCAUCUCGGUCAGCUAGAGAAGUUGAAAUCCCAGUGUGAGAAACUGACGGAGGAAUUAACCCACACUGAAAAUGAGAACAAAAAACUGAAGCUAAAAUACCAGAGUCUUAAGGAGGAACUAGACAAGAAGGAGAAAUACAUAAGUACCGAGGAAGAGCACCUAAGGCGGAUGGAAGAGUCCAGGCUGCAUCUCAAGGAUCAGCUGCUCUGUUUGGAGACGGAACAGGAAUCCAUUCUUGGUGUAAUAGGGAAAGAGAUUGAUGAAGCUUGUAAGACUUUCUCCAGAGACUCAUUGGAGAAACUGAAAGUACUGACCUCUGGUCCUCAACUCCAUUAUGACCCACAUCGAUGGUUAGCUGAAAGCAAGACUAAACUGCAGUGGCUGUGUGAGGAACUGAAAGAGAGAGAGAGCAGAGAGAGGAGCAUGCGGCAGCAGCUGGCGGCCUGCAGACAGGAGCUCCGGGAGCUGACGGAGCACAAGGAGUCUGAGCUCCUGUGUCUGUUCGAGCACAUUGAGAGGCAGGAACAGCUUCUGGAGGAGUUCCACCAGGAGAAGAGAGGUCUGCUAGAAGAGACUCAAAGGAAAGAUGAAGAAGUUGAAACUCUGCAGCCGAAUCUGCUAUUUAAACUUCCACCUUGGGAAGAAGCUAGUCAGACUACAGUGAAUGCUCAGAGUGCAGCUCAGAUGGAAGAUAAAGCAGACCGUGUAAAUGCAUUACAAAUGAGUACCCGAGUGGCCUUGGACCAUCUGGAGUCUGUGCCUGAGAAACUGAGCCUGCUAGAGGAUUUCAAAGACUUCAGAGGUGCCUCCAGUUUAUCUGAGAAAACUGAUGGCAGGUAUUCUAAAUACAGUCUUCACGGAGAUUCUGUUCAACAGCGCCGAGAUGACACCAAACCCAGAAUCAAGAGCUUUAGGGUUUCCACCUAAGAAUGUGUCAUAAGGGACAGACCUAAGUAUGGAAAAGCUUACAUAUUUAAAGGAUGACAGGCCCCUUUCUGCCGGUUCCCACGCUCAUGGACUAGAUCACUCCUCCUCUUGCCAGGACCACAGUCGCUUCCUGUCUAGUCCACAGUUUUCACACUCCUUGCCAGUAUUUACCAAAAGAACCAUUGCCACAGAUCCAGCAUCAAUCGAGGGAGAUACCACAAGUUUACCAGCAAAUGGAACAAGUCCACAGUCUAAGAAGGAGGAACACGAGAUCAAAAAAUACAAAAAGUGAUUUGCGACUUCACUUGAGUAUUUCACAAGUAACAGCCGAUGAUCCUUACUGCCAUUCGGCUCAGAUUAUCUAAAGACAUCGUGUGGCUUCAGCUCCUUGGAAGUGCCAAGUGUGGACUAGCAUGAUGUUAUAGGCAGUCUUUGUGAGUGAGAAUAAAUUUAACUUGUGGGGGUACUAUCAACUGAAAGCAGUAUAUAACUCAUUUAAAGGCAACUCAUACUGGCAGAGAAAGUGAUCAUUUUUACCUUAUAUUUUCCUAUUUCUGUGUCACAAUUUUCCAACCCAACCUUGAAUUUAUAAUUGAUGCCUUUCCAAGAUGACUGGCUACAAGGAGGAGAAGGGAUUCCCUCCAGGCAAAUGUUUCCAGCAGUUUAGAUUCAGGCACAUCUGUACACAGUGAAUUCAUAAUUGCUUUCUCCCCAAUCAAGUGUCAUGUUUUGUAACCUGUUGUGGAGGUGCCUGUGGAAUAGUAGACUGCUUCUUAAAUGCUUAUCACCACUCACCUGUCAUUUCAGCAGUCUGUAACUACAUGAGGUAUUUUCAAACUAUUCCAAUUAUCAUUUUAAUUGCAAAAGAAUUUCUAAAUGAUAGCUGAAUCAUAGAGCACCAUAAAGAAUUCUUAACAUCAUUUAUAUUAUUUGUCAUGUUAUGGCCAGUCGUCCCACUGUGAUCAUCCUGGUCAUACUCUGGAUGGUCUUGCUCUGACCUCCAUCCCAACACCCCUCUCUUGGCUCAGUGGCAUCCACUCUGUAGGAAUCCUUAUAUACUUAGUGGGAUCCACGCUGUAGGAAUCCUUAUAUACUUAGUGGGAUCCACUCUGUAGGAGUCCUUAUAUCCUUUGGUCCUACCUGACUGCCCUCCACAUCCCAGCCUUUUCAACAUCAAUGUGCUUUUAAAACCUUAACGCUCUGUCAUGCCCAUCUACCAAUGAAUGCUGAAUAAUGGUCAUCAUCCUGAAACUGAGUCCUACUGGGCCAUGGUGGAAAGACCUGCACCGAGGCAGGAACAAUAAAGCAAUUCCUUUAUAAGAA